rnacentral:rRNA from 1 species
UGCGUAGGGGGCAAGCGUUGUCCGGAAUCAUUGGGCGUAAAGCGCGUGUAGGCGGUCCGGUAAGUCGGUUGUGAAAGUCCAGGGCUCAACCCUGGGAUGCCGACCGAUACUGUCGGACUAGAGUUCGGAAGAGGCGAGUGGAAUUCCCGGUGUAGCGGUGAAAUGCGCAGAUAUCAGGAGGAACACCGGUGGCGAAGGCGGUUCUCUGGGCAUUACCUGACGCUGAGGAGCGAAAGUGUGGGGAGCGAACAGG